rnacentral:rRNA from 1 species
AGACAACUUACCCUUGGGACCGGGAUAACCCUUGGGAAACUAGGGCUAAUACCGGAUAGUGCAUCGAUUGCUGGAAUGCACGAUGUACGAAAGCUGAGGCGCCCAAGGAUAGGUCUGUGGCCGAUUAGGUUGUUGUUGAUGUAACGGAUCAACAAGCCUACGAUCGGUACGGGUUGUGAGAGCAAUAGCCCGGAGAUGGGUUCUGAGAGAAGAACCCAGGUCCUACGGGACGCAUCAGGCGCGAAAACUUUACAACGUGCGAAAGCACGAUAAGGGAACUCUGAGUGCCUCCUAAGGAGGCUGUUCAGAUGUUUAAAAAGCAUCUGGAGGAAGGGCUGGGCAAGACCGGUCCCAGCCGCCGCGGUAACACCGGCAGCCCAAGUGGUGGUCACGCUUACUGGGUCUAAAGCGUCCGUAGCCGGCUAGGUAAGUUCCUUGGGAAAUUUGAUCGCUUAACGAUUAAGCUUCCUGGGAAUACUAUCUGGCUUGGGACCGGGAGAGGUCAGAGGUACCUCAAGGGUAGGGGUGAAAUCCGUUAAUCCUUGGGGGACCACCAGUAGCGAAGGCGUCUGACCAGACCGGAUCCGACGGUGAGGGACGAAGGCUAGGGGAGCGAACCGGAUUAGAUACCCGGGUAGUCCUAGCUGUAAACGAUGCGGGCUAGGUGUUGGUAUUACUGCGAGUGAUGCCAGUGCCGAAGGGAAGCCGUUAAGCCCGCCAUCUGGGGAGUACGGUCGCAAGGCUGAAACUUAA